AAUACCCUCUCGAUCGGUAUUGCACUAUUACUUUUAUCAGAAAUCAAAUAAAAUUCCCUACACUUACCGGAUUUGGAUUUGAGUUCGGAAAGGAAAUUUUAUUUGGCGCUCCUUGUCAGAUGCCAGUCAAUCGUGCCAAUAUUAUUCAAUAACACGCCGACGGGUUUUGUGGCCCUUUCCCAAUGGCCAGAUGUCAGGAGCUCAAUUCGUAAACAACCGAGCAGCCGAGGAGACACGUGUUCGGUGGCAGAUAAACGCCGGAUAUACUAUGGAAGAUAUAACAAAGGACCCAGGACGUGCAGGGCAAAUAUUGAGUUUGAUCUUUUCAGCACUAAGGCGUCCUUUGCUUUCCCUUACUGAAGGUAUAAUCAUUUUAGUCUCAAGUUUAGUAAUAAAUAAGGUAUAUUGUUCUAAGUGAGCAUUGCCAGUUAAUUAAGACAGCCUCUCAGUUUGAACAGCUAAACGAAUUUAAAGAAAUCAAAUUGUUCUUAACUUAUAACACACAACUAAGAAAACUUCUCACAAACCUUGCACCAAAUGUGAAAUAUGUUCCUAAUAAACAUGAACAUUCACACCACAAUGGUUGAAAAAUAA